CUCCCGGUUGAUCCCGCCGGACCCGACUGCUAUCAGAGUGGGACUAAGCCAUGCGAGUCAACGUAGCAAUACGUGGCAUACGGCUCAGUAACACGUAGUCAACAUGCCCAGGGGACGAGGAUAACCUCGGGAAACUGAGGAUAAACCUCGAUAGGCCAUGAUUUCUGGAAUGAUUCUUGGCUCAAACCUAUAUGGCCCCUGGAUUGGACUGCGGCCGAUCAGGCUGUUGGUGAGGUAAUGGCCCACCAAACCUAUUACCGGUACGGGCUCUGAGAGGAGGAGCCCGGAGAUGGGCACUGAGACAAGGGCCCAGGCCCUAUGGGGCGCAGCAGGCGCGAAACCUCUGCAAUAGGCGAAAGCUUGACAGGGUUACUCUGAGUGAUUUCCGCUAAGGGAAUCUUUUGGCACCUCUAAAAAUGGUGCAGAAUAAGGGGUGGGCAAGUCUGGUGUCAGCCGCCGCGGUAAUACCAGCACCCCGAGUGGUCGGGACGAUUAUUGGGCCUAAAGCAUCCGUAGCCGGUCCUGCAAGUCUUCCGUUAAAUCCAGCUGCUCAACAGAUGGGCUGCGGGAGAUACUACAGGGCUAGGAGGCGGGAGAGGCAAGCGGUACUUUAUGGGUAGGGGUAAAAUCCGCUGAUCCAUAGAAGACCACCAGUGGCGAAGGCGGCUUGCCAGAACGCGCUCGACGGUGAGGGAUGAAAGCUGGGGGAGCAAACCGGAUUAGAUACCCGGGUAGUCCCAGCUGUAAACGAUGCAGACUCGGUGAUGGGUUGGCCUCGCGCCUGCCCAGUGCCGCAGGGAAGCCGUUAAGUCUGCCGCCUGGGGAGUACGGUCGCAAGACUGAAACUUAAAGGAAUUGGCGGGGGAGCA
rnacentral:rRNA from 1 species